rnacentral:rRNA from 1 species
UUAAGCGACUAAGCGUACACGGUGGAUGCCCUGGCAGUCAGAGGCGAUGAAGGACGUGCUAAUCUGCGAAAAGCGUCGGUAAGGUGAUAUGAACCGUUAUAACCGGCGAUGUCCGAAUGGGGAAACCCAGUGUGAUUCGUCACACUAUCGUUAACUGAAUACAUAGGUUAACGAGGCGAACCGGGGGAACUGAAACAUCUAAGUACCCCGAGGAAAAGAAAUCAACCGAGAUUCCCCCAGUAGCGGCGAGCGAACGGGGAGCAGCCCAGAGUCUGAAUCAGCUUGUGUGUUAGUGGAACGGUCUGGAAAGUCCGACGGUACAGGGUGAUAGUCCCGUACACCAAAAUGCACAGGCUGUGAACUCGAAGAGUAGGGCGGGACACGUGGUAUCCUGUCUGAAUAUGGGGGGACCAUCCUCCAAGGCUAAAUACUCCUGACUGACCGAUAGUGAACCAGUACCGUGAGGGAAAGGCGAAAAGAACCCCGGCGAGGGGAGUGAAAAAGAACCUGAAACCGUGUACGUACAAGCAGUGGGAGCACCUUCGGGUGUGACUGCGUACCUUUUGUAUAAUGGGUCAGCGACUUAUAUUCUGUAGCAAGGUUAACCGUAUAGGGGAGCCGCAGGGAAACCGAGUCUUAACUGGGCGUUAAGUUGCAGGGUAUAGACCCGAAACCCGGUGAUCUAGCCAUGGGCAGGUUGAAGGUUGGGUAACACUAACUGGAGGACCGAACCGACUAAUGUUGAAAAAUUAGCGGAUGACUUGUGGCUGGGGGUGAAAGGCCAAUCAAACCGGGAGAUAGCUGGUUCUCCCCGAAAGCUAUUUAGGUAGCGCCUCGUGAACUCAUCUUCGGGGGUAGAGCACUGUUUCGGCUAGGGGGUCAUCCCGACUUACCAACCCGAUGCAAACUACGAAUACCGAAGAAUGUUAUCACGGGAGACACACGGCGGGUGCUAACGUCCGUCGUGAAGAGGGAAACAACCCAGACCGCCAGCUAAGGUCCCAAAGUCAUGGUUAAGUGGGAAACGAUGUGGGAAGGCACAGACAGCCAGGAUGUUGGCUUAGAAGCAGCCAUCAUUUAAAGAAAGCGUAAUAGCUCACUGGUCGAGUCGGCCUGCGCGGAAGAUGUAACGGGGCUAAACCAUGCACCGAAGCUGCGGCAGCGACACUAUGUGUUGUUGGGUAGGGGAGCGUUCUGUAAGCCUGCGAAGGUGUGCUGUGAGGCAUGCUGGAGGUAUCAGAAGUGCGAAUGCUGACAUAAGUAACGAUAAAGCGGGUGAAAAGCCCGCUCGCCGGAAGACCAAGGGUUCCUGUCCAACGUUAAUCGGGGCAGGGUGAGUCGACCCCUAAGGCGAGGCCGAAAGGCGUAGUCGAUGGGAAACAGGUUAAUAUUCCUGUACUUGGUGUUACUGCGAAGGGGGACGGAGAAGGCUAUGUUAGCCGGGCGACGGUUGUCCCGGUUUAAGCAUGUAGGCUGGUUGUCCAGGCAAAUCCGGAUAAUCAAGGCUGAGGUGUGAUGACGAGGCACUACGGUGCUGAAGUAACAAAUGCCCUGCUUCCAGGAAAAGCCUCUAAGCAUCAGGUAACAUCAAAUCGUACCCCAAACCGACACAGGUGGUCAGGUAGAGAAUACCAAGGCGCUUGAGAGAACUCGGGUGAAGGAACUAGGCAAAAUGGUGCCGUAACUUCGGGAGAAGGCACGCUGGUGUGUAGGUGAAGCCCCUGCGGGUGGAGCUGAGACCAGUCGAAGAUACCAGCUGGCUGCAACUGUUUAUUAAAAACACAGCACUGUGCAAACACGAAAGUGGACGUAUACGGUGUGACGCCUGCCCGGUGCCGGAAGGUUAAUUGAUGGGGUUAUCCGUAAGGAGAAGCUCUUGAUCGAAGCCCCGGUAAACGGCGGCCGUAACUAUAACGGUCCUAAGGUAGCGAAAUUCCUUGUCGGGUAAGUUCCGACCUGCACGAAUGGCGUAAUGAUGGCCAGGCUGUCUCCACCCGAGACUCAGUGAAAUUGAACUCGCUGUGAAGAUGCAGUGUACCCGCGGCAAGACGGAAAGACCCCGUGAACCUUUACUAUAGCUUGACACUGAACAUUGAGCCUUGAUGUGUAGGAUAGGUGGGAGGCUUUGAAGCGUGGACGCCAGUCUGCGUGGAGCCAACCUUGAAAUACCACCCUUUAAUGUUUGAUGUUCUAACGUUGGCCCCUGACCGGGGUUGCGGACAGUGUCUGGUGGGUAGUUUGACUGGGGCGGUCUCCUCCCAAAGCGUAACGGAGGAGCACGAAGGUUAGCUAAUCCUGGUCGGACAUCAGGAGGUUAGUGCAAUGGCAUAAGCUAGCUUGACUGCGAGCGUGACGGCGCGAGCAGGUGCGAAAGCAGGUCAUAGUGAUCCGGUGGUUCUGAAUGGAAGGGCCAUCGCUCAACGGAUAAAAGGUACUCCGGGGAUAACAGGCUGAUACCGCCCAAGAGUUCAUAUCGACGGCGGUGUUUGGCACCUCGAUGUCGGCUCAUCACAUCCUGGGGCUGAAGUAGGUCCCAAGGGUAUGGCUGUUCGCCAUUUAAAGUGGUACGCGAGCUGGGUUUAGAACGUCGUGAGACAGUUCGGUCCCUAUCUGCCGUGGGCGCUGGAGAAUUGAGGGGGGCUGCUCCUAGUACGAGAGGACCGGAGUGGACGCAUCACUGGUGUUCGGGUUGUCAUGCCAAUGGCACUGCCCGGUAGCUAAAUGCGGAAGAGAUAAGUGCUGAAAGCAUCUAAGCACGAAACUUGCCCCGAGAUGAGUUCUCCCUGAGACUUUAAGUCUCCUGAAGGAACGUUAAAGACGAUGACGUUGAUAGGCCGGGUGUGUAAGCGCAGCGAUGCGUUGAGCUAACCGGUACUAAUGAACCGUGAGGCUUAACCUU